UAAUACGGAGGGUGCAAGCGUUAUCCGGAAUCACUGGGUUUAAAGGGUGCGUAGGCGGCCUGGUAAGUCAGGGGUGAAAGCUUCCCGCUCAACGGGAGAACUGCCCUUGAUACUGCCAGGCUCGAAUUGGGUUGAGGCCGGCGGAAUGUGGCAUGUAGCGGUGAAAUGCUUAGAUAUGCCAUAGAACACCGAUUGCGAAGGCAGCCGGCCAAGCCUUGAUUGACGCUGAGGCACGAAAGCGUGGGGAGCGAACAGGAUUAGAUACCCUGGUAGUCCACGCCCUAAACGAUGUUUACUCGACGUCCGGGCCCUGCGCCCGUGCGUCCAAGCGAAAGCGUUAAGUAAACCACCUGGGGAGUACGUUCGCAAGAAUG
rnacentral:rRNA from 1 species